rnacentral:rRNA from 1 species
CCUACGGGAGGCAGCAGUGGGGAAUAUUAGACAAUGGGCGCAAGCCUGAUCCAGCAAUGCCGCGUGUGUGAAGAAGGCCUGCGGGUUGUAAAGCACUUUCAGUAGAGAAGAAAAGCUUGCGGUUAAUACCCGUGAGUCUUGACGUAACCUACAGAAGAAGCACCGGCUAACUCCGUGCCAGCAGCCGCGGUAAU